CUUAGCGUCUAUGUUGAUCAUGAAGUCCACUAGAGCUUUCGACGACUUGUACUUGCAGUUUUCACUGAAUACCUCGAAAGCGCUCUUGUCUGAUGAACCGUUAAGGACCUGGACAAUGAAGACAGUGUCUUUUUAAUGGUUGUACGCCACUACACUGACGCCAUCCUUGGCAGCAUCCAGGCAAAGGUUCUCGAGUUCCUCUGAUGCGCCAGGUUCCGAGAGUAGGUCUACACCUCUGGAUACGCUCUCGUAGACAAAGAAGCUCUUUCUCAUGACAUCCAGAGCUCCUUCCAGAGUUUCGUUCGUCAAGGAUUCGAAGUCGAUGGUCCUAUCCUCUGUGGAACCCCAGACUCGAAAUACACUGUUACAAAAUUUAUCACCGAAGACAUAAAAAACUAUGUCGUGAAGAAGCGAGAAGUUCAAACCGACUACCGGAAACUUCCAUCGAUGACAACCUAGAUACUUCAUUAAUAGAGGCACGUUUUCUUGAAUUGUCACUAACAACUAUAUCAAUUUUUAUUAUUAAAAAUUUCAUAAAAGAAAUUUGAAAU